UUUAGAUCUUUUGAUCACGUUUGGAGGCUGGCCUCUCGGCCAUGCCUAGACCUUGUUCUUAUGUAUUUUCAACGGUGGAGUUUCUACACACCAUAGAUUAAGGUGUGGAGCUCUGCUGUACCUCGAGUAUUAAUGCAAUUACUAUUGUUCUUCUAUUCAA